rnacentral:lncRNA from 1 species
AACAAAGUUCUGGGCAAAUUCCAUUAACGUAUCUCUGAAUAUAUCAGUGUAGUGGCACAAUUAGGGAAACAUUUUGAUCUGAAUGACCACACUUGAUUUUCCAACAAUCUUACAAGAUAGUCAAGGCAAGUAUUUGUGCCAUUUCAUACAUGAAGAAGCUGAGAAUCUCAGCCAUUAGGUCAUCACCAGGCAACAUGGAACAGGACCGCUAGAGGUCUCACAGCAACUCUAGCACUGUCCCUCUGCCCCUGCCAUCUGUCCGUAGUUGUGAAUGAGCAUUUAGAGUCAUUUCCUACGUACAAUAUCACUUUGCCCUGAAGCACAGUAGUAUCAGCUAGACAACAUCACACUUAAGAUCCUUCUAAUCUUAUGAUUUAAUGUGACGGUUUUCCAUUAUGACUGGAACACUGAUUAAUCUUCAUUUCAUGCCCCAACACGGUGCUGGAUACAUGGGAAGAAUGCAAUUAUUUCAGCCCUCUUAGGGCAUUAUCAAUAUGCAACCAGUGUAUCUGCUCCCUCUGAAUGGAUUCCAUGGCCACCGAACCAAAGGGUACAAGAGCUGACUUCGUCCAGACCCCGACCUUCCGUGAGAGGAUAGAUAUUUUGGUUCUCAUCUUACACAGGAGCUGACUGUAGUCCGCAGAGGCUAAUCCAUUCAGAGGAGGAGGAGAGAUUAAAGAUUUAAUGGAAGAAGAGAAGCCAUGGGUGACGGGAUAAAUCGUUCCUGGUAAUCAGACAGCUAAAAAGUGUUGCAAGGGGAUCCGGUUUCAGGUCCUCUGCUUCCAAACCUCGAGCUCAUUUUACUACAUGUUAAUAGAUUUCUCUGCUCUUUAGAUCUUCAGUUUUUUUUUUUAAUUUUUAUUUAUUUAAGAGAGAGAGAGAGAGAGAGAGAGGCAGAGACACAGCAGAGGGAGAAGCAGGCUNAAUUUUUAUUUAUUUAAGAUAGAUAGAUAGAGAGAGAGAGAGAGAGAGAGGCAGAGACGUAGGCAGAGGGAGA